UACAGAGGUCUCAAGCGUUGUUCGGAUUCAUUGGGCGUAAAGGGUGCGUAGGCGGCGGGGCGAGUCAGGUGUGAAAUCCCGGGGCUCAACCCUGGAACUGCACUUGAUACUGCCUUGCUAGAGUACUGGAGAGGAGACUGGAAUUUACGGUGUAGCAGUGAAAUGCGUAGAUAUCGUAAGGAAGACCAGUGGCGAAGGCGGCAUCCUGGACCGACAUUGACGCUGAGGCGCGAAAGCCAGGGGAGCAAACGGG
rnacentral:rRNA from 1 species